ensembl:lncRNA
GCGUUAUGGCCCCCACCUGAAAAAAUAAGAUGUUGCUGAGAAAAAGCCAGCAGGGCUGGAACAAAGUGUGAAAAAAGGAGCUGAUCUGGGGGCAAAGAAUCGCCCUUGGCGUCAUGGAUCACUGCUUUUCCUCAAAUUAGAAAAACGAGGCCUGAGCUGAGUGCAACUGUGAGCUUGUUCCUACAGCUAGCAGAAAGCAAGGAAGUUCUUAGUGGCUCUUAGGACAGAGCUGUUUCCAAAGUGGCCUUUGAUCAGGUCAGCUACAGCCUGGAAAAGAUGGGCCAUGUGGUCAGAGAUGCCCUGCCACAGCUGCUCAAACCCUACAUCUGCAGACCUGACCGUGUCUUCAGGAAGAAAAGGCCGUGAGGAACCCUUUUGAGGAAGAAAAGCAGACCGGACAUGAUUGGAGUCAUCACUCUUAGUCUUCCAAGAGAAUCUCUGUAAGCCGUGAGAUUCCUAGUGACAUGACAAUACCUCUGUGCCUCCUUUGAGAGAAUAUCCUUGGCAUAAUAUUCAAGAUUUUCAACUUACUUUUUAAAAGAUGCAUGAGCAUAAACUCUACAAGGUAAACUUUAGGAUUGCACUUCAAAAUUGAGUGUUUACUAGCCCCCACAUGGCUGGUUCUCUUCUUCCAAUGUAAUAUCAACUCUUAUAGGAAAAUGUGACUUGGGAAGAUUCCUAAGAAUAAGGCAUAACCUAUACGACUUAUGUCAUAUUUCUAGCAGGAAAACUCAGCUAGUGGGGAGAGCAGUCGUAUGGUUAGGACUGUCUCAAAACCAAAUUCACCCAAUACGAAUUCAACCCGUGAACACUGCCGCUGCUCACUGCUCCACUUGUGCCCUCAUCACUGCCUUCAUGCCCCAGUGCUCUGGGCCAGUUGACGACUCCCUCUACAUCCCUACAUACUCUCUGCUGGCCGGCUGCUGGGCCUUGCUUUGGCCAGGGGGCCACAUCACGAUAAAGGCUGGGGAAUGUAGAGUCACCUGCAGCCUGUUCUGCCAAAAUAUUCAGUGGAAGACUGAGCCACGCUGACCUCGGACAUGAGGAAAAGAGAUGUGAUGAAUGAAAAGAAGACUGAAUCUGUACAUCCACAUCUUCAAGGGCAGCGACCAUUUCUUAUGCUUCUCUUCAGGACCUCGUUCAGGACCCUGUGCAUUCUAGGUACAAAGGAAAGGAGAUGAAGAUGAAGAAACAGAGGCUCAAGAAAUAAAGUCGCCUAUCCAAUGUUGCUCAGUUGACGGCAAAGUUGAGAUUCCAAGGACUUACCUGGUUUGAUGGGUUGACCAGCACUAAGAAUCUCCUGCCAGAUUCCAGCUGUGCUCAUUCCACCUGCAUCAGGAACCGGCACCCCAUCCAGGAGUCACACCAUCAUACUCUGCACCUGACCCUGUGUGGGUGAGGCAUCUCCUGGAAGACAGUGGACCCACGGAUGCCCAGUCCUCUGUGAGGGCUCUCAAUUUUGUCUGGUCAUGGAGCAGGGAUAUCGGAGUCCUCCCAUUCUAGGUUCUAGAGUUCACAAAUUCCAGCAAGCUGUUUCAUGGGAUCAGGGACACUUCGUUCUUUGCGUCCAUCCUGUGACUGUCAUGGUUAGAAUGCAUUUGUUCUGAUUUGCACUGACAUUCAGUCAAUAAACAACUGGUCAUUGGAACUGAAUCUCCUAUCACUGCCAGCAUUUGCAAAGCUGAGUUUCAUUUUGCUGAUCAUCCAGUGUGUGUCUCUCCAGUAAUGUGGUAUGUCCAGUGUUCCAACAUGAACCGCAUAUUCCCCUAAGCUGACCACCCUGGCUUUCUUCUGGAAAUUCCACCGGAAACACCCUGAGAUACUGUAGCCUGCAAAGCUGAAGGCAACGGAUAGACCUUGGUCCUUCUACAUCCACUGCCUAAGUGUGAGGGACAAGCCCUAUGCCAGGCUUUGCCCUAGCCAUCACAUGUCUACCCUGUUCUUGUCUUGCACAACCUCCCUUUCCUCUGUCCAAACAGUUGCUGUUUCUUUCCAAGCUCAGUCUACGAUUCUCACCCCUAUACAUGCUCCCCUAAUCAGGCUGAAGACAGAAUAUGCUCACCUUAUUUUACUAUGACUAGAUAUAUCAGGGAUAUAUCAGACUUAGCCUAAGUCUAGCAGAUUUUAAUAGUUAUUAAUAGAAUAUUCGUUCUUUUCCUUAUAAACACUAUAG